UAUUGCACUCGUCCCGGCCUG
rnacentral:ncRNA from 2 species